rnacentral:rRNA from 1 species
GAUGAACGCUAGCGGGAGGCCUAACACAUGCAAGCCGAGCGGUAUAUAGACUUCGGUUUAUAGAGAGCGGCGCACGGGUGCGUAACGCGUAUGCAAUCUACCUUUAUCACUAAGAUAGCCCUUCGAAAGGGGGAUUAAUACUGGAUAAUAAUAUUAUAGGCAUCUAUGAUAUUUGAAAGAUUUAUCGGAUAGAGAUGAGCAUGCGUAUGAUUAGCUAGUUGGUGAGGUAAAGGCUCACCAAGGCGAUGAUCAUUAGGGGGCCUGAGAGGGUGAUCCCCCACACUGGGACUGAGACACGGCCCAGACUCCUACGGGGGGCAGCAGUGAGGAAUAUUGGACAAUGGGUGGAAGCCUGAUCCAGCCAUCCCGCGUGCAGGAAGACGGUCCUAUGGAUUGUAAACUGCUUUUAUAUAGGGAUAAAUGUACCCUCGUGAGGGUAUUUGAAGGUACUAUAUGAAUAAGCAUCGGCUAACUCCGUGCCAGCAGCCGCGGUAAUAC